GUUGUCCGGAAUCAUUGGGCGUAAAGGGUACGUAGGCGGUUAAAAAAGUUAGAAGUGAAAGGCUAUAGCUCAACUAUAGUAAGCUUUUAAAACUGUUUAACUUGAGAGAUGGAAGGGAAAGUGGAAUUCCUAGUGUAGCGGUGAAAUGCGCAGAUAUUAGGAGGAAUACCGGUGGCGAAGGCGACUUUCUGGCCAUUAUCUGACGCUGAGGUACGAAAGCGUGGGUAGCAAACAGGAUUAGAUACCCUGGUAGUCAAGGGCG
rnacentral:rRNA from 1 species